rnacentral:rRNA from 1 species
UCACUUCGGAUUGCAAGCUGCAACUCGCCUGCAUGAAGGAGGAAUCGCUAGUAAUCGCCGGUCAGGCAUACGGCGGUGAAUAGAAGAAAGAAUGGAUAGUCCAAUAGCGGCUUCAGCAACCGCAAGGGCAAUAACAAAAAUUGCGAAAAUAUCUCCUUUUAAUUGGCGACUAUCAAAUAGAUCAGAAAAUGUUACGAGAUUCAGUAUAAGUUCAAGACAUAUUGGAGCUCUAACCAUGUUUCGGCUUGUGAUCAAUCCACAGAUACCAAUCGAAAAUAAAUAGACACUCAAAAAAAGUACAUGCUCAAACAUCAU